UCCUACGGGACGCAGCAGUGAGGAAUAUUGGUCAAUGGUCGGGAGACUGAACCAGCCAAGCCGCGUGAGGGACGAAGGUACAGAGUAUCGUAAACCUCUUUUGUCAGGGAACAAGGGCGGGGACGUGUCCCCGGAUGAGUGUACCUGAAGAAAAAGCAUCGGCUAACUCCGUGCCAGCAGCCGCGGUAAUACGGAGGAUGCGAGCGUUAUCCGGAUUUAUUGGGUUUAAAGGGUGCGUAGGCGGUCCGGAAAGUCAGCGGUAAAAGCCCGGGGCUCAACCCCGGCGAGCGGUUGAAACUGUCGGA
rnacentral:rRNA from 1 species